GGAAAACUCACCAGGUCCAGACAUAGUAAGGAUUGACAGAUUGAUAGAUCUUUCUUGAUUCUAUGGGUGGUGGUGCAUGGCCGUUCUUAGUUGGUGGAGUGAUUUGUCUGCUUAAUUGCGUUAACGAACGAGACCUUCACAUGCUAAAUAGAGCACCGUAUCUUCGGAUAUGGAUGCUACUUCUUAGAUGGACUUUUGGCUUUUAAGCCAAAGGAAGCAGGAGGCAAUAA
rnacentral:rRNA from 1 species